rnacentral:sRNA from 1 species
AAUGAUCCAAGCGGACCCCGUUGGAGAUGUGUGGCACCAGGAGCUCUGGAUCUGCUGUGUGCAGGUUUCUGGUGUGGAUCCUGCUGGGUCAGACACAGAAGCUGCGGGGAGAAUGCCGCACGGGCGUGUUAAGUGGGAGGGCACCUCUGAGCUCCCCUGCCCCGCCGCGGUGCGGUUGGACAGAGAACCACCUUUGCUUUUGGAGUUACUGAGAGAUGCUGCUGAAGCAGAGGACCUUUCCAUGAUCAGAUCUCUAAGCCAUUAACUCACCUUUUAAAAAGUAUCAUCUUUAAAUAUAGGCACCCCUCGGAAACAAGGCGAGAGGCAAAAAUGAGAAAAGAUGCUACCUAGUCUCUUAAAUUUCGUAGCUGGUUUCUUCCCUUUGGUAGAGGGAGAUCAGAGUAUCUCCAAUUUCAGUAAGCUGUGCUGUGGUACCUCCCUGAGGACCAGGUGGCACAGACAGGAAAGGGGCAAGAGCAGGUGCUAACAGAUAUACAUACGCUGCUGGUGUAAAGCGAUGAUGCUUCCCACACUACCCUAUGCUGAAGUGGAAACGAAAGGGGAGGUGUUUUUUGUUUUUGGUUUUUUGUUUUUCAUUUAAUUUUCUUACAAGUGCUGUGUAAGAAUGGGAGGUUGAGAAUGGCAUCUUCUUUAUCAUGCACCUCCCAGCACCGUCCGAGAAUGCAGACAGCAUCCUCCAGUCCUGGGAUGCACUCCAGAAAGAUGAAGUUUCCUAGGUAUCCAUUUUAUUCACAGGUUAAAAGCAAAAGGGAAUGCUACUCUGAGGAGGUGGCAGAGUGCAGAGAAUACAUUCAAACAGGAAGCCCUGGUGGAAUUGUGUGCGUACCACAGUUCUUUGCAGAGGCAUGAUUAAUAAAUUAUUUUUUGAUGGCAGUAAUGUGGCUGUCAUCUCUUUCAGCUCUAACGCUGAGACCUAAUCCAUAGGAAAAUCCUUGGUUUUUAAUUUCACAAAGCAUGCCCUAAUGCAGCAGUGCUGAAUGAUGCCUUCCAGAGUUGCAAUAGGGAAAAACAAAACAAGCAAACAAACAAAACCAAGCAACAACAAAACACUAAAUCCAUCCUCUUUUGGCUUUCUAAUGCAAGACAUAAGUAAAAACGUCUUAACCUUCUGUAGGCUGCCAGGCAUCUGCUCCUUGCCUUUCUCAUGCAGUAAAAUAAAAGCAUUUCCACAUUAUAGUAGGUGAUGCUGUUGACACUUGAGAAAGAUUUCUUUUCCACACUUAGUUCAUCAUCAUCCCUCUCAAAUCCCACCUCCAGGAUUCUGUGUUCUUUGCCUUCUUCCUCCCCCGAUGGAAUAAAUCCAAAACACAAAGAGAGGUGCUGCAACGCUUUUGUGGGGAAACGAGCUCUUCCUGAAACCACAAUUGGACAGUAUCCACCUUCUCUUCAUUGUUUCCCAAAGCCUUCUUCACUUCUCGUUCCAAAUUCCCUCUCCUUCCCCCCUUCUACUUCGAUUUAAAAGCUUGUUCCUGGUUCCCUAUUGAGUUCCUAUUUUCCUGGAACACCAGUCACUGUGUAUCAGCUGCUCUUACAAGGAAGAAUCUCCAGAGGGAGCAGGGCAGCAGGGCCCAUUGCUUUGAUGGUUUUCUAUUAAGGAUCAGGUGGUAACAGACCAUCCAGAGAAGUUUAGCAGAUGUAACUGUCCUCACUGUAAAACUGGAUUGUAAGGCUUUCUGGUAGCAGGUGGUAAGCGUGGGGAACCACUGUCCAUGAUGCAGUCAAGGGCUGGACCCUCUCGCUGCUAAAGAAUAGACAGGAUUCCUUUAACAGGCAUGACUUAGAAGCUCCAAGCUGUCUAUCGGUGAUUUUCUAGUUUUGGCUAAUUGAGGAAGAAAGAUCACUCAAACUGUAGUCCACGGGGUGAUGUCUAGUUCUGAAAAAAAUGGAAAAAGAUAGCUGAGCAUGUGGUUGCAAUGUGAGUAGCUGCUGCCAACAUUCUGCCACCAGACCUACCUUCCCAUAGGAACUGUGUUCCCAGGCUGUGGGCAAGAAACAAGCCUUCCUUCCUGAAGUUACUUUAGCCAGCUAUUUCAUCUCAGCAGUGAGACCUGUAACUAUGACACUUACCUGUCACAUCACCUGUUUCUUUGGGCUCCGCAUUAACUCAAAGUAUAAGAUCAACCCAGAAGGGCAACAGAAAAUCUGGAGAGCACUGUCUUCACAACAUCCAGGAUUCAAGACCUCUUCCACUGCAACAUACCAUGAAGAAAAUGAACAAUAACUAAGUGAGUGAUCCAGAACAAAUGGAGAAAGGAGAGGAAUUCCAGUGUAACCAUAUCCUAGUUGCAAAGGAUUAUAAUAUUAUCCAAAGUCUCAAGUAUGUGGAAUGUCAGGUGAUAAACAUAAGGUGAAAUUACACCCCCAAAUCUUUAACACCUAUGAAAAUAGUGAGAGAACAUAAGAAUUUCAUAGCAACUGGAGAAAUAAGGAAAACUAAGCAGUAUAUCCAUUCUAUUCCUGUUGGCUUAGCAAAGUUGGCAUGCUCUAGAAAGACUUUUUCACUAACUAUGGAGCAAGGUUAAACAGUAGUGCAAUUGUACAUGUGAAAAUUGGGGGAACCAGGACACUGAACAGUAAUGAUGUAGAUUCCAAACACAAAUAAAGGUUGAAAGACUACCAGGGCUAAUGUGUCCAAAGAAAGUGUACAGCAGCAGACAGAUCCCCUACACUUACUGGACCCUGUACUCUUGAGGAGAGCCUUCUGCGUUUCGCCAGCAGACACCAGGAAUUUAAAGUAGAGGUUUGAGCACUCGGCACUAAGGGUUGAUGAAGAGAGGUCCAUUAGAAACCGGAAUGAAAAUAACCUUCAUCUCUGACCUCCCAAGGAUCACUGAAGAUCAAAACAGCUUUCAGUCUUCACUACAGAGUAAGAUUAAAAUGCAAAACAGCACUGUUUAUGGCUUUAGUUUAAAUAUUAAGGAGGGCAGCAAACCAAGUCUCGAAUGUCAUCAUUUUGGGAGUGACAUCUGAUAAAAAUAAUAAUCUCCUAGGAAAAUAUCCAAUUAGCCCAAAGAAUUCCCCUAGCAAACCGAACAAUGGCACUGACUUGCCCGAAGGCUGAUUUGCAAAUGAUUACACAUCCUUUACCACCCCUGAUCCAGCCCCAGCUCUUUCCCAAUCAUUCUUUGUUCUAUGAGAUUAGUAUGGAAACAAGAAGACUAAUUUGAAGUCACACCUUAUCUAAGUUGUCUUUUAUUUGAAAUAUAUAUAUAUUAUAUGAAAGUUAUAAUGAUAUUUUCAUGUAUGUGACUAAUAAUGUACUUUUUUUCACAUUCACCUUCUGUUACUCCGGUUUGCUGUCUCCCUGUCACUGACUCCCUUUCUCUUCCCACACAGCCGCUCUUCUGUUAAUAACGUGUGUUACAUGUGUUUCUGAGUCUGACUUACUUUAUGCAAAAUGGGGACCUCUAUUUCCUCCAGACAACAUAAUGUUGUCCUUCAUUAGAGAUGAACAAUAUGUCACUAUGUGUAUCUACUACAUUUUCUUUACUCUUUUAUCUGUUGAUGGACACUUGAACUGAAUGCAGAAUUUGGCUUCACAGUGAGCAGUAAGCAUGACUGUCCAAGUAUCAUUAUUGUAUAUCUUCAGGUAUUCCCAGGAGUUGUAUAAAGCACCAUGAAGUACUUUCAUGUUUCGCGUUUUUAAAUUUCAUUUAUUUUAUGUGUAUUUCUGGGUGUUUUCCCUGUGUUUGUGUCUAUAUACCCUGUGCAAAGGAGCCAUCAAGGGCAUUGGAUUCCUUGGGACUACUGUUACAGAUGGUUGGGAGUCACCAGGUGGGUGUUGGGACUCGAACUUGGGUUCACUGAAAGAGCAGCCAGUCCUGCUAACUGCUAAGCCAUCACUGCAGCCUAUGCAUAGUAUUUUUGAGGCAAAUCUCUAAGAUAUACUCAGUACUUUAGAUAUUUCUUUCUGAUUAGGAUGGAAAGGCUUUUCACCUUCCAAGAUCUUCCUUAAUAGGUUUAUUAUUGUUAUAUGUGCUAACGUUUUCAGUAUAGAAAAC